CAACACACAUUUAUGUUCAAACACCAUGUAAAAGUGAAUUUUCCAUAAUAGGUGCCCUUUAAUGCUAAUAACCGUUUUGAUGAGCUUAUGCACUUAUUGGUGCAAAAAAAAAAAAAAAAAUUGGAUGAAUGUUUUCACAGAGAAAUCAUGAUAAGGUCAUGCUUUUAAUCUUUUUUUUAUCAUUAUUCCACAUAAAUCGUAAGCUCUGUCUCAGAACAAACUGUUUUCAGAUUCAGGGCAAAGUGACGUACGUUUGCACAGGCCCCGCCAAUGACUGUUGAUGGACACUGCCGUAUUAGCAUAGACCUGCCCUGAGUGUGCUGUACACAGACGCGGAGCAGCUGUAGACCAGAAUGUCUCGUAAGCAACUAAGGUGUUUUGUUGUUGGACGUACGAGUGAACAUAGUAGUCGUCAUUUACUUCUGACAUCAGAACUGCGUUAUAACCAUAAUUAAACUAAACUAUGCAUCAUUUUAAUAGCAUUUCUAAAGUUCUGGAAAAAGCUGUUUUGUCACAGUUUCCCUUUCUGACCACUCACAACAUACUAGAACUUUUUCAGUCAGGUUUUAUGUGGAUGACUCGCAGCUGUACUUGCCUCGAUAAUCAAUACAGACUCAAUACAAGUCUUGAAUACAUCAAAAGGUGGAUGGCUAACAACUUUCUCCAGUUAAAUGGUGAGAAGACAGAAGUCGUAAUUUUUGAGCUCCCAAGGCAAGAUGCACUGUUGUGCAAAAUCUAGGUCACCCCUUGUGUCAAACCCUAUGCCAGAAACCCGGGUGUCAUCCUUGACCCAGAACUCUGCCUUGAUAAACAGAUUAUCUCUGUUGUCAAAAAUGUUUUUUUACCAGCUCAGAAUGAUCUCCCGCUUAAAAUCAUUCCUAUCUCACAAUGACCUUGAGAAAGUUAUCCAUGCGUUUAUUACAGCACAGCUGGAUUAUUGUAAUUCCCUCUACCUUGGCCUCCCCCAAUCCUCACUUAGAUGUUUGCAGUUAGUCUAAAACGCAGCUGCGCGUCUUUUAACUGGCCAUUCUGGCCUCCAUGCACUGGCUCCCAGUUCUUUUUAGGAUUCAGUUCAAAGUUGUAUUGUUUGUUUUUAAGGCACUAAAUGGGCUGGCCCUAACCUAUAUUACUGACCUUGUACAGCCAUACUCAGUUCAAAGGUCACUAAGAUCCUCAAACAAAGGACUCCUGCAUGUGCCGUGCUCACGGCUCAGAGGGGUGAUAGAGCUUUUGCAGUUUCUGCUCCACGUCUGUGGAACCAGCUCCCCCUGGAUAUUAGAUCCCAUUCUGCCCUCAAAUCCAGGCUAAAACCCCAUUUUUAUUCCCUGGCCUUCCUUGUGCCCUAACCCUGCACUCCUGCUCAUUUCUUUGUACAUAUAUUUGUGUUCUGUGCUUCACUGUACAGCACUUUGGUCAGUUUUAUGCUAUGUGUAAAUGUGCUUUAUAAAUUAAAUGUACUAUUUACUAAACCUCUAUGCAGCAUAUUUAUCUAUCUUUAAACCAAAUUUGUGUCUCCAGCCGACAAAGGCUAGAGCGCAAAAGGCUAGAGCGCAAAGGGCUAGAGUCGCCGGUCUUUUAUGGCUGUUUGACUGCCUCUGGACUUCUAACCCAAAAAGUUUUAGACCCCGUUUACACUUAUUUAGUGUCGUCCACUUGUUAUCCGAUUGACAAACACAUCUUAAUACCAGGUGUAAAAAGAGCCCUAGAGAGCAAAUGGCAAAAACAGAAGAAGAGGUAAUCUGUUUCUCAAAUUUAAUCUUAAUUUCUCAAAAUAUCUUUUAUGUUAAUAUAGAACAAAGUCGUACAGGUUUGUAAUGAUAUGUAGGUGAGUAUGUGGCUGAACGGUUUACUUUCCAUCUCAGAAUUGGAAAUGUAGUUUAUAAUAUGUGGAAAUAUCUAUCUUCUGAAACUUGAGAUCUAAUUUAAUGCCUCCAGUAGGAUUUUUUGGGGGAAUCCCUAAACACCUGAAUUUCCUAGAGUCAUGUGAUUUUCCUCAAGGGUGUUGCAACAAGCACUUGUUCACAUUACCUGAGUAUUUAUAAGAACUUGGGUUAGUGCCUGUCCUGACAUGACAGUGUUUUGACUUCUCACGAAGUGCCUACACUGGAAGUUUGUAUCAAAGCUGUCUACACAGCAAAUGAGCAACACUGCAUGCCCAGUCGCUUACAGUGAAGACAGGUCUCCAUGUGCAUGACAUGAAAGUUUACAGAUGAAAUAUUCAUGGCACGUUCUCAAACAUCAUGCCUCUAACCUGUGAUAUUGUGCAAACGUGGUGUUAACGUCAUCAUUGGCAGUGAGUAACUGCUCUAUGAGCGGCUCCUCUGUCAGUCGGGGUAUGAGCUCCACCAUCCGGCCCUGCAUGUCCUUGCUCAUGGAGUACAGCUGCUACUGACCGCCAGAGAGAGUAGAGAAACAGCAACAGCCCAUCACAUUUAUACACUAGAGGAUGAGUGUGUACAUGCAGGAGAGAGUAAGAGUGUGUGUUUGAGUCCGAUUCCAACCUGUAGCAGCUCUGUGUCCGUCGGCUCGAGACUUCCAGGCUCCAUCUGACUCAUCAUGUCUGACAUCACAGAUAUAUUAUUACGCA